rnacentral:rRNA from 1 species
CCCUUAGAUGUCCGGGGCUGCACGCGCGCUACACUGAAGGAAUCAGCGUGCUAAAACCAUUGUCGAAAGGCAUUGGUAAACCCAUUAAAAUCCUACGUGAUUGGGAUCGGGAAUUGCAAUUAUUUCCCUUGAACGAGGAAUUCCCAGUAAGUGUGGGUCAUAAGCUCGCGUUGAUUACGUCCCUGCCCUUUGUACACACCGCCCGUCGCUGCCCGGGACUGAGCCGUUUCGAGAAAAGCGGGGACUGCCGCUGUCGGGGCUUUCGGGCCUUGGCUUCGGUGGAAACCGCUUUAAUCGCAGUGGCUUGAACCGGGCAAAANUCGUANCA